CGCAGACAAACAUGGGCGAAGCCUCAAAGCUCCAUAUCUUCCUCUUCCCUUACAUGGCUCAUGGCCACAUGAUACCAACUCUUGACAUGGCCAAGCUCUUCUCCACCAAAGGAGCCAAAUCCACUAUUCUAACCACACCUCUCAACGCCAAGAUCCUCGAAAACCCCAUCAAAUCAUUCAACCAGGACAACCCUGGACUCGAAGACAUCACCAUCCACAUCCUCCAUUUCCCUUGCACAGAGCUAGGGUUGCCCCAAGGAUGCGAGAACACUGAUUUCUUCUUCUCUAAUCCUGACCUUAACACAGGUGACUUGAACCGCAAGUUUCUACUUUCAAUGGAAUAUUUCAAAGAGCAGUUAGAGCAGCUCCUCGAGACAGUGAGACCAGACUGUCUUGUCGCCAAUAUGUUCCUCCCUUGGGCAACUAAACUCGCUGAGAAGUUUGGUGUACCAAGACUUGUGUUCCACGGCACAGGCUACUUCUCUUUAUGUGCUUCUCAUUGCUUAAGGCUCCACAAGCCUUACAAGAACGUUGCUUCGAGUUCUGAGCCCUUUGUGAUUCCUGAACUCCCCGGAGAUAUUGUGAUCACAGAGGAACAGGUCAUAGAGAAAGAAGCAGAGUCUGUGAUGGGGAAGUUUAUGAAGGAACUGAGAGACUCAGAGAGAAGCAGCUUUGGUGUGUUGGUGAACAGCUUCCACGAGCUUGAACCUGCUUACUCCGAUUUUUACAAGAGUUCUGUAGCUAAAAGGGCUUGGAGUAUCGGUCCGCUUUCUCUAGGGAACAGAGAGUUCAAGGAGAAAGCAGAGAGGGGCAAAAAGGCUAGCAUUGAUGAGCAUAAAUGUUUGAAAUGGCUUGAUUCCAAGAGAUGUGAAUCAGUUAUUUACUUGUCAUUUGGAACCAUGUUGAGCUUCAACAACGAGCAGCUCGUUGAGAUUGCAGCUGGCUUGGAUAUGUCAGGACAUGAUUUUAUAUGGGUGGUAAACAAAAGUGGCAGCCAAGGUACUCAUCAAACAUAUCUUUCUAGCCAUUAUUUGCAACAUUGCCUUCUGUUUUAUUUAAAGUAAAAAAAUGAUUUGGGAUUCUACUAUAAAGAUGCUUUAUAGGGGACUAAAUGCCGCCUAGACCGUUUUUUAGAACACUAUUUUUAUGUCUUGUGUUGUGAAUAGGUGAUAAGGAAGAGUGGUUACCUGAGGGGUUCGAAGAGAAGAUGAAAGGAAGAGGAUUGAUAAUCCGUGGCUGGGCGCCACAAGUUGUAAUACUAGACCAUCAAGCAGUUGGAGGAUUUUUGACACAUUGCGGAUGGAACUCGCUUCUAGAAGGUGUAGCAUCAGGGCUACCAAUGGUGACAUGGCCCAUUGGAGCAGAGCAGUUCUACAACGAGAAGUUGGUAACACAAGUGUUGAAAACAGGAGUGAGUGUAGGAGUAAAGAAGAUGAUGAAACCUGAUGGAGAUUUCAUUACCAAAGAGAGAGUGGAGAAAGCUGUAAGGGAAGUGAUGGCUGGAGAAGAGAUGAGGAAACGGGCUAAGCAGUUAGCGGAUAUGGCGAAAGAUGCGGUGAGAGAAGGUGGAUCUUCAGAUAUUGAAGUGAACAGGUUGAUGGAAGAGCUUAAGUUGGUUAGGUUGCAAAAAGAAGAGGAAAAAAGAAGUUGAUCUUUUUUUUCUAUGUUAAGAAAUAAAUGUUAUUGACAAACAAUAACGAUGUUGUUGGUUUGAGUUACUUUCUCGAAUCAGAACGAUUUAGUAUGUUGUUCUACUAUACUGUUUACUCUACGAUGUCACAUGUUUUACUUAGUUUGAAAGUACUCUCUUGACUCUUAUGUUAUGUGAAAAAGAAUAUUAGUAUCUGUGCAGUAAAAUUUAGAAUGAAUGACCUGGUUUGUAAUAUUCAGGGCCGAUCUUACGCGUAGCGAUUGAUAAAACAUUCAUUUUGUCCCCCAAAAUUUAAGUAGUUAAUAUGUAUAGAUCAUUCAACUUUAUAGGUAAAGAAACGUGAAAUUAAGUUCUUGAGUAAUCAAAACACAAACCCCUUCAUCAGUUCCGUCUUCUAAUAUUGUUAGCUCGGUUGAAGCGAAGAACAUGAACCAUAAGGAUUCCACUAACAUUUGGCACACUCCCAACAUCACUUCCUAAUGACAUACAAAACUUUACUCGAUUAGCAUCAAACUAUCUCCAGAUAUAAUUCUUUAAAGUCUGCAGUUUUUAUGUAGGGCUUCUAGAAAUGUAUACAGGCUUCUUUCUUUUCUUGCAUGCAAUAAGUAACUUCAAUAAAGUCUAUUUAUAUCAAUAAUAUAAGGUUAGUAGUAUUCUAUCCUUUUUUUUCUCCAGUCUCCAUAAGGCGAAUGGCAAGUUGUGUUCUUACAAGUCUUCUUUAUUGGUGGACAGUCUCAAACCACGUGCUAUGAACUUAUCAACUUAGCUUUCUCUAAUAUAAAGUCUAAAGACCCAAUACUUCAAGAAAAGUAUCCUGGAAUCAUUAGAGCAUCAGCACUUCAGCAGUGGUACCAAAAUAUUAGAAUCUUUCAAACAAAAUAAUAGUAAAAAAUAAAAAAAAAGUACGAGAGAGGAUGUUAAAAAAGUGAGGAUCGAUUGGUGGCAAGAAACGUUAAUAGCAUGAUUAGAGCAUAAUUAACCCUCCUAGGCAAAUUUUUUUUUCUUUUUUUUUGUCAGAAAAAAAAAAUUAAAAGUGAACCAAUCGCGGACUGCCACGUGUCGGUGGGAUCCGCGAACAGUGCAAAAAAUCCUCUACAAUCGAUCCUUAUUUUGUUGUUUUUGUCACCGGUUUUAAAAACUUUGCUGGGGUCCACGCACUAAUUUGUUUUAAGAAACCCAUUAACUACGCGAUAAUCAUGGUCUUAUUGGAGUUUUUAGGAUGAAGUUCUUAGAGGAAUAUAAGAACACGUCUCUUAACUUUUAACUACAAAAGCUAAGAACCCCACCCUAAGAACCUCUAAUAAUCAUGCUCUAGACACUCCUCAAAAACGUCCAUAUGCCACUCUGGAUUAAAUUUUUAUUUCCACUAAAAUUUAAUUAGAUAAAAGUUAAUACUAGAAUACUAAUAUAUUAAUUGCAAUGUACUUUCUAUAAGACCAUAUACAAUGGUUUCAACACCUUCCACAUAUUCAACACCCUAUUUUUUUCUUUUUAACGCUCCACAUUAUCUUUUCUCUCUUCCACCUCGUUUAUUCAACAUCUACUUCAAUAUACACCUCUACAAUAGUUUAUUUUAAAAAAUUCACCACCAUACCCCACAACUCUUAAUUCAUGUUUUUGUUUUUUACAAUUAACUUAAAAACUAAAAUAACAAAACUUUUAAUAAUAUUUAUUUUGAAUUAUUAUACUUAGCUUAAUUUUUAAAUAGUACCAAAAUCUGUAUUAAUAAAACAAUCAAAAUUAAGAACAUAUUUAUUUUUUUAACUAAGAUAUUUACCAAAUUUUAUUUUCAAAUAUACGAAACUUAUUAUUAUUAAAACAACUAAAAUUAAGAAAAUUUAAAUACACACGAUACAAACACAUAUUAUUAAGAAAUUUUAAACACACAAGAUACAAAGCACACAAAAUAAAAAUACAUUAAAACUCUUAAAGCACAUACAUAUUUUUUUAAAAAAAAAUUAAACAUGAAACAUUCCAAAUUUUACCCAUAUGUGUUUAACUAGAUCUGAUUGCAAUUCAUGAUGUAUAGUUGAAUCACGUAAUUCAGAUCUAGUACGCACAUGAUUUGCAAAUGCUGGUAGCACCUCAGUAGAAAAUGGUUGUGGUGUACUCGAACCACUUGCCUCAGAUUGAUCAUAAUCGGUCCAAUUAUGAGCAUAUGUAUCUCGUUCAUUCUCAACAAUCAUAUUAUGCAAUAUGAUACAUGACCGCAUGAUGAUAGCAAGAUCCGAUAUCUCCCACAUGCGAGCUGGUUCACGAAUGAUUUUAAACCGAGCUUGUAAUACUCCAAAUGCGCGCUCGAUGUCCUUCUGAUACCCUUCUUGAUAUUUUGCAAAUAACUUAUCUGGUUCACUUUGAGGAAGUCAGAUUGAUUUGACAAAAAUUGGAUAAGAAUGAUAGAUACCAUCAGCUAGAUAAUAUGCCAUGUCAUAUGGACGUUGGUUUACAAAAAACUUUACUCUUGGAGUAUUACCUUGUUCAACAUCAUCAAACACCGGCGAAUGAUCUAGAACAUUUAUAUCGUUUAAUGUUCCCGGACAUCCAAAAAAGGCAUGUCAAAUCCAUAGAUCAUGAGAUACAACUGCUUCAAGUAUAACCGUGGUGGUUCCCUUAUCUCCCCGAGUAAACUGACCUUCCCAUGCUGUUGGAAAAUUUUUCCAUUCCCAAUGCAUGCAAUCAAUACUCCCGAUCAUUCCUAGAAACCCCCUCAUCUCACUGGCAUGCAAAUUUUUUUGCAAGUCAUCUUUAAUUGGAGCUCUAAGAUACUCUUGCUCAUACAACCGUAUGAUUCCUUUACAUAAACGGCGCAAGCACUCUAAUGCUGUAGUACCUCCUAUUUUGAUAUAUUCGUCAAUCGCAUCGGCAUCAACACCAUACACUAACAUUCAAUUGGCAGUAGUGCAUUUUGCUAAUGGAGAAAUACCUUCCUUAUUUGCUGCGUCAACUCAUUGGGUGAAAUAGUUGUCACUCCUUGAUAGGUCUCCAAUGAUCCGAAGAAAAGCAUAUUUUCGCAUCCGAAAUCGCCGACAAAACAUUUGUUCAUCAUAUGUAGGUUGAUUGGCAAAUUAGUCAUCAAUCAGCCUUUGAUUCGCUGCUACAUGAUCUUUCUUGAAGUAUUUUCUCUUGCUACGAGACAUAUGGUCUUUCUCAAAUUUUUUCGGCGCUCUAUAAACCGGUGUUAGAUAUACCUCUCUUCAAGCUCACACUGUUUUUUGUACACUUUGAUAUCGAAAGAAAAUUCUGAUGGAUCCAUUGAUAUUUUUUUGUAAGAUGAAAUUGUGUUAUUGAUACAUUUACGGGAAAAUGAGUUUCCAUUUAUAAAAACCUGAGUGGAUGAAAAUUCUUGACUCCAAGCAAACAUUAAAUUGGCAUAAAUAAUAGAUAACGAUUGGAUUCUCUUACAAAAUCAGAAAGUCACGUAUUGCAUACAAACAAAAUUAUUAAAGUGAAAAAAACACGCAUUAUUAAAGCCGAAAAAACACAUUAUUUAAAAAGAAAGAUACAAACAAACAUUAUUAAAGAAGAAAAAAACAAACACGCAUUAUUAAAGGUGAAAAAAAAACAUACAUUAUUAAAGAAGAAAAAUACAAACACACAUUAUUAAAAGAAAAAUACAAACACACAUUACUAAUUUCUAAAUAGAUCAUUGCUCAACUUCUCUAACAGCUGUUUGUUCUUGUCACCAAGAUGUUCUUUUUCACUUAGCUUCAAGAACAUCUUCAUUUUUUUGGUUUCAAUCUUUUCUUUCAUCAAUCGAUUUGCCUCCUCUUGUGUCUUGGCUGUUUUGUCCAAUCGUUCCAAUUCUUGCUGUUUGAAUUGUUUGUAUUCAUUCCACUCUUCGUUGACGGUUUCCAAAGCUGCACCUUUGCUUUUCUUUUUGCCUUUUUUUUUGUUGCCUCUCUCCCCAUUGGACGAGCACUUGAUCCUACAGAGUUUGAUCCUACGGAGUUCGAAUCACUGGCAUCACUCUCUCGGGAUCUCUUAGAUCCACUACUUAUAAAGCCAUUAUUUCCUCCUACUUGACUACCAUAGCGCGGUUGAUCACGAACAACAAGCCACUCCGACAUUAAAUUGAAAUGUUCAUUUUUACCACUUGAAUAUAAUUCGUGCGCUUUUGCCAUUACAUCAUUCUCCGACCAUCCACUUUGUUGCAUACACCUAGCGUUAUCGUAAGCGCCACUCCAUUUGCUCAACUUUUUAUUCAUAUAGUUGAAAUUAUUUCUACAUGAAGCUCCAUCACGGGGAGGAUCAAAUGAGCAAUGCUCAUUACAAUACUCAAAAAUUUUACUCCAGUAUACUUUGCUUUUCUGGUUCCUGCCAACAAUGAUGUUUGUUCCAUAUUUAAUCCAUCCACUAAGUAGCACCAAGUUUUGAUCGGUGGUCCACUUAGGGCUUCUACGGCGAGCUUGAGCUGAUUCAUCUUCAUUUGCGUCGGGAAUGGGUUCGCUAGCACCACUCAUGCCACCAAGAGCUAUUUGGGUACAAAAUUUGGGAAAUUCAGUUGCUCUCGUAAUAUUUGCAUCACCCGUUGGAGUAGAAGAAAAUGGAGGUGUUUGAGAAAAAUAUUGCAUCAUUGAUCCGUAAUUUGAAGGAUAAUUCGGAACAAAUGAUGACAUGAUGAAAUUUGGUGGGAAACCAUAAUUUGGUAUAUUUUGGGGUUGGUUGGAAGUUUGGUUUUGAAAUUGAUAAUUGUUGGGAUUUUGGAAGUUAAACGGAAAAUUAGAAGAGUUUUGGGUGUUAAAAAGAUUAUUAUUGGGAUCCAUUUAACAAAAAAAAAAUUAAACACUAAAAUAGUUGAUUAUAAUGAAAAAUGAUGUUUUUUUUUGUAUCCAAACGAAAUGAGAGUAGUCUCUAUUUAUAGAUAAAAAAAAUCUUGAAUUUUGAUAUAAUUUUUUUAUCUUUUUUUAAAAUAGUUAUAUUAUAAAAUAAACGAGUUCGGAUUAUUGGGUGAGGAUAAAUAUCAAAAGAAAUCUGUACAGCCAAUGAAAAGAUAGCAUUUAAAUAUUAUCAUGAAUUAAAUUAAAGAAAAUCGUGUAAUCCCGCGCGCGUGCGUUCACGCUCUCAAUAUUUUCUACCCACUCAUGGCGCGACACAUGUCAUCUGUAGACCACAAAAAAAAAUUCAACAGCUGAAACUUUGCAACGCCUGUUGAACACACGUAGAUUAACAUAAAAAUUCAACACUCACUGCAUGCUCUUCAACCGUUGAAAAUGAGUUUCAACACCUUUAUUGCUCCUGGUCUAAGAGACUAUCCACUAAUCAUGUUCUUAGGUUAAACUUCUCCAUGUUAUGAUGAUUAAGACGCUAGGCGGGAAGAUAAUUCUAAAUGAUUAGUCAAAUGGGAUUGAUUAGGCGAUUUCAAUGUAUACUAGUCAAAUUAAGCACUAAUAUAAGUGUCAUCUUGAGAGUUUACAAGUUAUUUAUUUUUGGUACAGCCGACAAAGAAAAACAAAGUUGGUCCAUAAAUCUUGAAAACUGAUCCUAGAUUCCGACAAGUGUGGCAAGUUGACAGAGGAGAAGUACCAAUGAAACCAAAACAAGUUACGUAUGCAUAUACGUCAGAAUCCAUUACCCAAAAUGAUCUCACAAGAAUCCAAACUAACGUGUGGAUGGUGGAUUUUAUACAUUAUAUAUUUAGAAAUACUGUAAUGAUAAAAUAUAUACAUCAAGCAAAGACUCCCACAAUCAUUCAAUACGUCAAGAAAUAUUACUUUUUCUACGAGGUUCAGAAUCUUUUACUUCUCUGAACUUAUUUCUCAAAAUUCUCAUAGUAAAUCUCAUUUUCUUUGCAACCAAAGCAAGAGAAACAUGAGUAGUAGUAAUCCACAACACAAGCUCCAUGUUAUGUUCUUCCCUUUCAUGGCUUAUGGCCACAUGAUACCAACUCUUGACAUGGCUAAGCUUCUCUCCAGCAGAGGAGCCAAGUCCACUAUUAUCACCACACCUCUCAACUCCAGGAUCCUCCAGAAACCCAUCGACGUAUUCAAGAACCUGAAUCCCAAUCUUGAUAUCGAUAUCGAGAUCUUCGAUUUCCCUUGCGUGGAGCUAGGGUUACCAGAAGGAUGCGAGAACGUCGAUUUCUUCACCUCAAACACCAACGUCGACAGUAACUACAUGGCCUUUAAAUUCUUUAUGUCGACAAGUUUUUUCAAAGAUCAGCUCGAGGUUCUCCUCAAGAAGACAAGACCAGACUGUCUUAUCGCCGACAUGUUCUUCCCAUGGGCUACUGAAGCUGCAGAGAAGUCUCAUGUGCCAAGACUUGUGUUUCACGGCACUGGCUACUUCUCUUUAUGCGCUGGUUACUGCAUUAAAAUGCAUAAACCACAGAACAAAGUAGCUUCGAGUUGUGAGCCCUUUGUGAUUCCAGAGCUCCCCGGUGACAUAGUGAUAACUCAAGAACAGAUCAUAGACGGAGACAACGAGUCCGAGAUGGGGAAGUUCAUGAUUGAUGUGAGAGAAUCAGAGCUGAAGAGCUCAGGUGUUGUUGUGAACAGCUUCUACGAGCUUGAACCUGAUCACGCAGACUUUUACAAGAGAUUUGUAGCUAAGAGAGCGUGGCAUAUCGGUCCGCUCUCUGUUAUAAACAGAGGAUUUGAAGAGAAGGCUGAGAGAGGAAAGAAAGCUAGCAUUGAUGAAGCUGAAUGCCUCAAAUGGCUUGACUCCAAGGAACAAGAUUCAGUCAUAUACAUUUCAUUUGGGAGCGUGGCUUGCUUCAAGAACAAGCAGCUGAGAGAGAUCGCUCUAGGGUUAGAAGCGUCUGGCACAAAUUUUAUUUGGGUUGUGAGGGAAAACACAGAUGACAAAGAAGAAUGGUUGCAAGAAGGGGUUGAAGAGAGGCUCAAAGAAAGAGGAAUGAUAAUAAGAGGAUGGGCACCACAAGUACUGAUACUUGAGCACCAAGCAACAGGAGGGUUUGUGACUCACUGUGGCUGGAACUCGCUUCUUGAAGGUGUGGCUGCAGGGCUACCUAUGGUGACGUGGCCUAUUGGAGCAGAGCAAUUCUACAACGAGAAGUUGGUUACGCAAGUUCUCAGAACUGGAGUGAACGUGGGAGCCACAAAGCAUGUGAAAGCUAUGGAAGAUGAUAUCAUUAGUAGAGAGAAAGUAGAGAAGGCGGUGAGAGAGGUCUUGGUUGGGGUAGAGGCGGAGGAGAGGCGUAAACGGGCGAAGAAGCUGGCGGAGAUGGCUAAAGCUGCGGUGGAAGAAGGAGGGUCUUCUUUUAACGAUCUAAACAACUUCAUAAAAGAGUUCAGCUCAUGAUGAUUCUUCGUAUAGAGUUUUGGUUACAACUCUUAUAUUGGGAAUAAGACAAAACCUAAUGUAAUAUUCAAGGAAUAUAGGUUAAUCAAUCUUUCAUUUUCACUUGAGCGAGCUAGUAUGAAUUUGUAUCUAGAAGCGGCAGUCAAUAAUUUUCCCAACUGUUUGAUUCUAAGAGGCGCCAAAAAUUCUGGUACAUGUUUAAAUCACGUCUUAAUUACAUUUGUCAAAGAUCCACCAACGUUAAGACUUGAGAGAUUUCAUAAAAAAAAAACAAGAGUUAAAGACAGAUGUGCGUUUUGAGAAAGUGGUGACACAUGAUCUUGUCUUGUUACAUGCACAUGCAUGCGUAAGAUUUGACUUUUCUUUGUUGGUAUGGAACCGAAAGAGCAGUUAAACUUUAUGAUAUAGAUAUACAAAUAAUACUCUCUAAAUAGCAUCAACAUUAAUUAUUACAUAUUGAUAACCUAUUAGAAUAUUUUUUUUAUUAAGAUAUAAACUCAUAUUGACUGUUUUAACAAAAGCGACAGCAUAAUUUCAAGUUAUACAUUAUACUAGUCAAUUAAUUAAAAAAAUUACUCAAAAUAUCAACAUAAUUGUAGAUUUUGAAUUGAUUUUCACUGAGACUUGAUCUAAACUAGUGGAGCGUGCCGGAUGAUGGUCAAACGAAACUAAUUAAGAAACAAUUAGUUUGAGUUAUUUCAUAUGAAUCGGUAUAAAAUAUAUAAAUUAAAAAAAAAUUGGUUCCACGAUACCUUGAAAACAGAUACUAGAUUCCAAAAAACCCAAAAUCAGUGACGUAUGCAAAGACGUCAGGUUCAUUAAACCAAAACGUUUCUUGUAUGUUAUAUAAAUAGAGAGAUGCAUAACCAACUCUUCUACAAGCUUCAGAAUCUUUCAUCUCUCUCAAAUUUCUCGAAACAUAUCAUUUUUUUUCAGUCAAAGUCAAACAUGGCUAGUAACUCUCAUAAGCUCCAUGUUAUGUUCUUCCCUAUCAUGGCUCAUGGUCACAUGAUACCAACUCUAGACAUGGCUAAGCUAUUCUCCAGCAGAGGAGCCAAGUCCACUAUUCUAACCACACCUCUCAACGCCAAGAUCCUCCAGAAACCCAUCGACAUAUUCAAGAACCUCAAUCCGAGUCUCCAAAUCGAGAUCCAGAUUUUGGAUUUUCCUUGCGUCCAGCUCGGGUUACCAGAAGGAUGCGAAAACGCUGACUUCUUCACCUUAACCAACAACAUUGAUGAUAGACGCGCCAUGAUCUCCAAAUUCUUUUUGGCGACCAGGUUUUUCAAAGACCAGCUUGAGAAGCUCCUCGAGACCAGGAGACCAGACUGUCUUAUCGCCGACAUGUUCUUCCCGUGGGCUACUGAAGCUGCUGAGAAGUUCCAUGUGCCAAGACUUGUGUUCCACGGCACUGGCUACUUCUCUUUAUGCGCUAGUUAUUGCAUCAGAGUGCAUAACCCACAGAAGAGAGUAGCUACAAGUAGCGAGCCAUUUGUGAUCCCUGAUCUCCCAGGGAACAUUGUGAUAACUCGAGGACAGAUCUUAGACCGUGGUGAAGACACCGAGAUGGGGAAGUUUAUGACCGAGGUUUUAGAAUCAGAAGCGAAGAGCUCAGGUGUUGUUGUGAACAGCUUCUACGAGCUUGAACCUGACUAUGCUGAUUUUUACAAGAGUAGUGUAGCAAAGAGAGCGUGGCAUAUUGGUCCGCUCUCGGUUCACAACAGAGGAUUUGAGGAGAAGGCUGAGAGAGGAAAGAAAGCAAGCAUUGAUGAAGCUGAAUGCCUCAAGUGGCUUGACUCCAAGAAACCAGAUUCAGUCGUUUACAUUUCAUUUGGGAGCGUGGCUAACAUCAAGAACGAGCAGACGUGGGAGCCACAAAGCAUGUGAAAGCUAUGGAAGAUGAUAUCAUUAGUAGAGAGAAAGUAGAGAAGGCGGUGAGAGAGGUCUUGGUUGGGGUAGAGGCGGAGGAGAGGCGUAAACGGGCGAAGAAGCUGGCGGAGAUGGCUAAAGCUGCGGUGGAAGAAGGAGGGUCUUCUUUUAACGAUCUAAACAACUUCAUAAAAGAGUUCAGCUCAUGAUGAUUCUUCGUAUAGAGUUUUGGUUACAACUCUUAUAUUGGGAAUAAGACAAAACCUAAUGUAAUAUUCAAGGAAUAUAGGUUAAUCAAUCUUUCAUUUUCACUUGAGCGAGCUAGUAUGAAUUUGUAUCUAGAAGCGGCAGUCAAUAAUUUUCCCAACUGUUUGAUUCUAAGAGGCGCCAAAAAUUCUGGUACAUGUUUAAAUCACGUCUUAAUUACAUUUGUCAAAGAUCCACCAACGUUAAGACUUGAGAGAUUUCAUAAAAAAAAAACAAGAGUUAAAGACAGAUGUGCGUUUUGAGAAAGUGGUGACACAUGAUCUUGUCUUGUUACAUGCACAUGCAUGCGUAAGAUUUGACUUUUCUUUGUUGGUAUGGAACCGAAAGAGCAGUUAAACUUUAUGAUAUAGAUAUACAAAUAAUACUCUCUAAAUAGCAUCAACAUUAAUUAUUACAUAUUGAUAACCUAUUAGAAUAUUUUUUUUAUUAAGAUAUAAACUCAUAUUGACUGUUUUAACAAAAGCGACAGCAUAAUUUCAAGUUAUACAUUAUACUAGUCAAUUAAUUAAAAAAAUUACUCAAAAUAUCAACAUAAUUGUAGAUUUUGAAUUGAUUUUCACUGAGACUUGAUCUAAACUAGUGGAGCGUGCCGGAUGAUGGUCAAACGAAACUAAUUAAGAAACAAUUAGUUUGAGUUAUUUCAUAUGAAUCGGUAUAAAAUAUAUAAAUUAAAAAAAAAUUGGUUCCACGAUACCUUGAAAACAGAUACUAGAUUCCAAAAAACCCAAAAUCAGUGACGUAUGCAAAGACGUCAGGUUCAUUAAACCAAAACGUUUCUUGUAUGUUAUAUAAAUAGAGAGAUGCAUAACCAACUCUUCUACAAGCUUCAGAAUCUUUCAUCUCUCUCAAAUUUCUCGAAACAUAUCAUUUUUUUUCAGUCAAAGUCAAACAUGGCUAGUAACUCUCAUAAGCUCCAUGUUAUGUUCUUCCCUAUCAUGGCUCAUGGUCACAUGAUACCAACUCUAGACAUGGCUAAGCUAUUCUCCAGCAGAGGAGCCAAGUCCACUAUUCUAACCACACCUCUCAACGCCAAGAUCCUCCAGAAACCCAUCGACAUAUUCAAGAACCUCAAUCCGAGUCUCCAAAUCGAGAUCCAGAUUUUGGAUUUUCCUUGCGUCCAGCUCGGGUUACCAGAAGGAUGCGAAAACGCUGACUUCUUCACCUUAACCAACAACAUUGAUGAUAGACGCGCCAUGAUCUCCAAAUUCUUUUUGGCGACCAGGUUUUUCAAAGACCAGCUUGAGAAGCUCCUCGAGACCAGGAGACCAGACUGUCUUAUCGCCGACAUGUUCUUCCCGUGGGCUACUGAAGCUGCUGAGAAGUUCCAUGUGCCAAGACUUGUGUUCCACGGCACUGGCUACUUCUCUUUAUGCGCUAGUUAUUGCAUCAGAGUGCAUAACCCACAGAAGAGAGUAGCUACAAGUAGCGAGCCAUUUGUGAUCCCUGAUCUCCCAGGGAACAUUGUGAUAACUCGAGGACAGAUCUUAGACCGUGGUGAAGACACCGAGAUGGGGAAGUUUAUGACCGAGGUUUUAGAAUCAGAAGCGAAGAGCUCAGGUGUUGUUGUGAACAGCUUCUACGAGCUUGAACCUGACUAUGCUGAUUUUUACAAGAGUAGUGUAGCAAAGAGAGCGUGGCAUAUUGGUCCGCUCUCGGUUCACAACAGAGGAUUUGAGGAGAAGGCUGAGAGAGGAAAGAAAGCAAGCAUUGAUGAAGCUGAAUGCCUCAA
rnacentral:lncRNA from 1 species